GCCACGAAAGAUUUUCAGAUUUCAAACGGGGCCGUUUGGGAACCGCUGCUUUAGAGGUUUAGCUGUUAAUUAUAGAUAAAGCUGUUAUUAUCUAAAUAUUGAUAUUGGCUACAAAUAUGUUGUGCUAAAAGGCAGCUAUUUACUUAAAAGGCAGCUAUUUAUAUUAUAUUAUAAAUAAAUAUAUUAUUGUAUUAUAAAAGCCAUAAGGUACUUGAGGCUUCAAUAAAGUAACAGUUCGAUGGUUGCCGGCCCCAACAACACCCCCGAACUGUUACAUUAUUGGACAAUGAAGUAGAACCUCUCGUACCUCAUUGCUUUAUAAUACGGGUCGAUGAAAUCCAGCGUUCUGAUUGGUUGAGAGCGAGUCAAACGUGAUGUUGCUGUUUUUCCGUUGCAUUUUGUUACAGUCACACGUACAGGGACUAUUUUCUCAGGCUACUGAAAUGUGAAACAACGUUUGGUGGCUACAAGGCAGCUAAUUUCUUACUAUCAACAAUGUCGCUGGCAACCGUAUUAUAAGCGUCGGGCCUAACAACACACUUAAGUGUAACGUUAUUGAGGAUAAAGAACCUCAUCGCUUAAACGUCACGGUCUCCUAACCCGGACAGUUUUUAGCCAACCAUCCAGUAAAACUAGAUAAGAAUGAUUGUGUUAUCUUUUCAGGUUACUUAAUGGUGGUAAAGUAAGUGUUAGGUCUUUAGCUUUCAAGCCAAAUGCUAAUUUAAUUCUGAGAAUCUAAAUUGUCUUAACCAGAGUCGGUAAAAGGACGCUGGUAUUGCCCAAACCCGGGCAGACGUCCAUCGUCAUAGACAUCCUGCUUCAACACCUCCAAAUAGAAUAAAAGCUCUUUCAUCAUCGCCCGACCGUCGCCCGAGUAAGUCCUCCAGUAGUUAGACAUGUAAAUGUUUAUUUAUUCAUGAGAUUUGACGUGUAGAUUCGUUGGCAUGUAUGAAUUAACAUUACUAAUUUAGGGCACUUAAAAUGGUUGAAUGUUUUUUUAAACUUUUGUUUACCUUGCACUAAAUUGUAAAUUUGUAUUUGUUUAAUUACGAGCAAGUGAAAGAGGAUUGACACAUUUCAAACAAGAAUGCAUUAGAUUUGCAUUCGUUUUCAUCAAGCUGUUUUUAGAUGUAUAGUGUAUUAUCUUUUGGAUUUACUUCCGUUAUAUAAGCAGACCCACAAGCAGCUACAGAAUUGUCAAAAGUUGUAAUUUCAAUUAAAUGCUUAUUUUAAACACGA